UACGUAGGGCGCAAGCGUUGUCCGGAAUUAUUGGGCGUAAAGAGCUCGUAGGCGGUUUGUCACGUCGGCUGUGAAAACCCGAGGCUCAACCUCGGGCCUGCAGUCGAUACGGGCAGACUAGAGUGCUGUAGGGGAGACUGGAAUUCCUGGUGUAGCGGUGAAAUGCGCAGAUAUCAGGAGGAACACCGGUGGCGAAGGCGGGUCUCUGGGCAGUAACUGACGCUGAGGAGCGAAAGCGUGGGGAGCGAACAGG
rnacentral:rRNA from 1 species